GAUUCGUCACACUAUCAUUAACUGAAUCCAUAGGUUAAUGAGGCGAACCGGGGGAACUGAAACAUCUAAGUACCCCGAGGAAAAGAAAUCAACCGAGAUUCCCCCAGUAGCGGCGAGCGAACGGGGAGGAGCCCAGAGCCUGAAUCAGCAUGUGUGUUAGUGGAAGCGUCUGGAAAGGCGCGCGAUACAGGGUGACAGCCCCGUACACAAAAGCGCAUGUGCUGUGAGCUCGAUGAGUAGGGCGGGACACGUGGUAUCCUGUCUGAAUAUGGGGGGACCAUCCUCCAAGGCUAAAUACUCCUGACUGACCGAUAGUGAACCAGUACCGUGAGGGAAAGGCGAAAAGAACCCCGGCGAGGGGAGUGAAAAAGAACCUGAAACCGUGUACGUACAAGCAGUGGGAGCACCCUUCGGGGUGUGACUGCGUACCUUUUGUAUAAUGGGUCAGCGACUUAUAUUCUGUAGCAAGGUUAACCGUAUAGGGGAGCCGGAGGGAAACCGAGUCUUAACCGGGCGUUAAGUUGCAGGGUAUAGACCCGAAACCCGGUGAUCUAGCCAUGGGCAGGUUGAAGGUUGGGUAACACUAACUGGAGGACCGAACCGACUAAUGUUGAAAAAUUAGCGGAUGACCUGUGGCUGGGGGUGAAAGGCCAAUCAAACCGGGAGAUAGCUGGUUCUCCCCGAAAGCUAUUUAGGUAGCGCCUCGUGAAUUCAUCUCCGGGGGUAGAGCACUGUUUCGGCUAGGGGGCCAUCCCGGCUUACCAACCCGAUGCAAACUGCGAAUACCGGAGAAUGUUAUCACGGGAGACACACGGCGGGUGCUAACGUCCGUCGUGAAGAGGGAAACAACCCAGACCGCCAGCUAAGGUCCCAAAGUCAUGGUUAAGUGGGAAACGAUGUGGGAAGGCCCAGACAGCCAGGAUGUUGGCUUAGAAGCAGCCAUCAUUUAAAGAAAGCGUAAUAGCUCACUGGUCGAGUCGGCCUGCGCGGAAGAUGUAACGGGGCUAAACCAUGCACCGAAGCUGCGGCAGCGAACGUAUCACCCAAGACAACUUUACGGAGUUGACGAUUGACGGAGCGAAGCGACGUCAAAGCGUUCAUUAAAGUCGAGUUGGCUUAGGGAUACGUUCGUUGGGUAGGGGAGCGUUCUGUAAGCCUGUGAAGGUGUGUCGUGAGGCAUGCUGGAGGUAUCAGAAGUGCGAAUGCUGACAUAAGUAACGAUAAAGCGGGUGAAAAGCCCGCUCGCCGGAAGACCAAGGGUUCCUGUCCAACGUUAAUCGGGGCAGGGUGAGUCGACCCCUAAGGCGAGGCCGAAAGGCGUAGUCGAUGGGAAACGGGUUAAUAUUCCCGUACUUGGUGUUACUGCGAAGGGGGGACGGAGAAGGCUAUGUUGGCCGGGCGACGGUUGUCCCGGUUUAAGCGUGUAGGUGUGUGUUCCAGGUAAAUCCGGUUCACUUUAACACUGAGGCGUGACGACGAGGCACUACGGUGCUGAAGCAACAAAUGCCCUGCUUCCAGGAAAAGCCUCUAAGCAUCAGGUAACACGAAAUCGUACCCCAAACCGACACAGGUGGUCAGGUAGAGAAUACCAAGGCGCUUGAGAGAACUCGGGUGAAGGAACUAGGCAAAAUGGUGCCGUAACUUCGGGAGAAGGCACGCUGACACGUAGGUGAAGUGAUUUACUCAUGGAGCUGAAGUCAGUCGAAGAUACCAGCUGGCUGCAACUGUUUAUUAAAAACACAGCACUGUGCAAACACGAAAGUGGACGUAUACGGUGUGACGCCUGCCCGGUGCCGGAAGGUUAAUUGAUGGGGUCAGCGCAAGCGAAGCUCCUGAUCGAAGCCCCGGUAAACGGCGGCCGUAACUAUAACGGUCCUAAGGUAGCGAAAUUCCUUGUCGGGUAAGUUCCGACCUGCACGAAUGGCGUAAUGAUGGCCAGGCUGUCUCCACCCGAGACUCAGUGAAAUUGAACUCGCUGUGAAGAUGCAGUGUACCCGCGGCAAGACGGAAAGACCCCGUGAACCUUUACUAUAGCUUGACACUGAACAUUGAGCCUUGAUGUGUAGGAUAGGUGGGAGGCUUUGAAGUGUGGACGCCAGUCUGCAUGGAGCCGACCUUGAAAUACCACCCUUUAAUGUUUGAUGUUCUAACGUGGACCCGUAAUCCGGGUUGCGGACAGUGUCUGGUGGGUAGUUUGACUGGGGCGGUCUCCUCCUAAAGAGUAACGGAGGAGCACGAAGGUUGGCUAAUCCUGGUCGGACAUCAGGAGGUUAGUGCAAUGGCAUAAGCCAGCUUGACUGCGAGCGUGACGGCGCGAGCAGGUGCGAAAGCAGGUCAUAGUGAUCCGGUGGUUCUGAAUGGAAGGGCCAUCGCUCAACGGAUAAAAGGUACUCCGGGGAUAACAGGCUGAUACCGCCCAAGAGUUCAUAUCGACGGCGGUGUUUGGCACCUCGAUGUCGGCUCAUCACAUCCUGGGGCUGAAGUAGGUCCCAAGGGUAUGGCUGUUCGCCAUUUAAAGUGGUACGCGAGCUGGGUUUAGAACGUCGUGAGACAGUUCGGUCCCUAUCUGCCGUGGGCGCUGGAGAACUGAGGGGGGCUGCUCCUAGUACGAGAGGACCGGAGUGGACGCAUCACUGGUGUUCGGGUUGUCAUGCCAAUGGCACUGCCCGGUAGCUAAAUGCGGAAGAGAUAAGUGCUGAAAGCAUCUAAGCACGAAACUUGCCCCGAGAUGAGUUCUCCCUGAGACUUAGAGUCUCCUGAAGGAACGUUGAAGACGACGACGUUGAUAGGCCGGGUGUGUAAGCGCAGCGAUGCGUUGAGCUAACCGGUACUAAUGAACCGUGAGGCUUAACCUUACA
rnacentral:rRNA from 1 species